rnacentral:rRNA from 1 species
GAUGAACGCUGGCGGCGUGCCUAAUACAUGCAAGUCGAGCGAACAGACGAGGAGCUUGCUCCUCUGACGUUAGCGGCGGACGGUUGAGUAACACGUGGAUAACCUACCUAUAAGACUGGGAUAACUUCGGGAAACCGGAUCUAAUACCGGAUAAUAUAUUGAACCGCAUGGUUCAAUAGUUAAAGACGGUUUUGCUGUCACUUAUAGAUUGAUCCCGGCCGUAUUAGCUAGUUGGUAAGGUAACGGCUUACCAAGGCGACGAUGCGUAGGCGACCUGAGCGAGGGAUCGCCCACCCUGGAACUGAAACGCGGUCCAGACUCCUACGAGAGGCCGCAGAAGGGUAUGUUACGCAGUAGGGGGAAGUCUUACGGAACAACGGCGAGUGAGUGAUGGAGGUCUUCGGAUCGUAAAACCCUGUUAUGAGGGAAAAACAAAUGUGUAAGUAACUAUGCACGUCUUGACGGUACCUAAUCAGAAAGCAACGGCUAACUACGUG